ACUGCUGACAUCAACUAGAAAUGACACUGAGUUUGCACUUCUGCCAUGAUCAAGACCUCAAAGUCAGUCAUACAGAAUUGGAACAACACUAGGACGAAAAUCAGUCAUACAGAUUUGGAACAACACCAGAGUUGGUGAGAUCGGGGCUCUGGAGACGGACGGGUGAGCGGCUCGGAUCAGAGUCCAGAUGAAGCUGCUGGUAUCAGAUGAGAGUUUAGCCCUCGAUGGCUCAGACAAAGACCGUGUUUGACUUCCCCUCAGGCUCAGAACAACAGAAAUGAGAGGUGAGAAGAUUCCAGAACGUCUGUGAGAAUCACAGGUGUUACCUGUCAUCACCUCGUGCUUGAAAUUUUAUCCUCUCGCCCUGGAAUACAACCCUUGCUUACAAAAAUGUGUUCUAAGAAUGUUUUUUACCCUCUGGUGUUGUUCUCGUUGGAGUCACGCUUGUGUUGUUUGAAAACCUGAAAAUGUAACGUUUUCUAUUUUCAGUAAAAUCAAUGUAAUAUAUUUUUGUUCCAUAAUAUUUUUGCUUUUUUAUUUUGUAUUUUGAGAGAAUUUCAUGGCACUAAU